GACAAGACAAAAAGGCAUUGGGACUUAGUGGUUGUGGGCAAGUGAUUGUUCUCCUGGAUGCUCGUGUCAGGUCAGUGGAAAACUGAUUUUUUUUUACACCUCGUUGUCCAGGAAGAGGAGGCUUGAGAGGAGCGAGGCGUUGUGCACUAGCACCCAGACGGGUUUGAAGUCUGCGACGAUCCCGUGUGACAGGUUGCACGCCUAGUGAGGACAGCCAUGUCUAUGGAUCCAGCUGUCCAACAGAGUCAGGCUGUGGUGGCUGGGCAGGGAGCCCAGGCACAGGGUUGUAUGGCCUUUAACGACGUGGCUAUCUACUUCUUGAGGGAGGAAUGGACACUGCUUGAUGACUCUCAGAGGCGUCUCUACCACCAUGUGAUGAUGGAGGUCUUUGUUCUCAUGUCCUCAUUGGGACUCAUACCUUCUGGGACCCGUGACAUCACUCAGCUGGAGUCUUCAGAUCCCUUCAUUCCUGCACUGAGAUUCCUGACUCCAAGCGUAAGCAUUUUUUCUGCAUAUCUGUACGUACAUUGAGUACAUGCCUGGUAAAAAUGGUAUUGGAUUGCCCAGAACUGGAGUUACAGAUGGCUAUGAACCAGUGUGUUUGCUGGAAAUGGAUCCCAGGUCCUCUGCAAAAAUAGUAAGUGGUCUUCAAUACUGAGUCCUCUCUCCAGCCCAAGUUUUAAGUUUUUAAGAAGUUACCAGAUUCAGUUCUAGUUGGCUGUGUGUUUCAGAUUUCCUCCUGAAGUAUUUCACAUACCAGUUUGUCACAUCCUCCCUGAUACUUUGUAGGUUGUGAGGUGUUCACAUGAGUCAUUUUAACAACUAUGCAGUAGCAUAUGACUGUAGUUUCAUUUUUUCAUUAUGUUCAUAUAUUAUUAUAAAGAUUCAUUUAAUUUUGUCAGUUUAUGUUAGAACCUGCAGGUAUGUGUGUGUACCACAUGUAUGUCUGGUCCCCUUGCAGGUCAGAGUGGCCAUGAGAGCCCCUUGAACUAGAGUUAUAGAUCCUUGUGAAUUUCUAGUCAGUGCUGGGAAUGGAACCAAGGUUAUCUGCAAGAAUAGCAGCUACUGUUAGCCAAUGAGCCAUUUCUUUGUUCUCCUCACUCAUGUUUCCUUCCUUCCUUUUAUUCUUUCUUUCUUCCUUCCUUUCUUCCUUUUUCUCUCUCCCUCCCUUCCUUCCUUCCCUUUCCUUUCUUCCUUUCUUUCUUCCUUUCUUCCUUUCUUUCUUCCUUCCUUCCUUCCUUCCUUCCUUCCUUCCUUCCUUUCUUUCUUUCUUUCUUUCUUUCUUUCUUUCUUUCUUUCUUUCUUUCUUUUCCUUCUUUCUUUUUUUCACUCACUAUUUAGCCUUGGCUGUGCUGCAUUCCCUCUGUAGACCAGGCUGGCCUUGAACUCAAAGAGAUCCACCUACCUCGGCCUCCAGAGUGCUGACAUUAAAGAUGUGAAGUUGGGGAAUGGUAGUGCACGCCUUUAAUCCCAGCACUUGGGAGACAGAGGCAGGCAGAUCUCUGUGAGUUCAAGGCCAGCCUGGUCUACAGGACAGGCUCCAAAGCUACACAGCAAAACCCUGUCUUGGGGGGAAAAAAAGUGAACCAUCCCACUUAGCACCCACAUUUCUUGCUAAUUUUCUUCUAUUAUUUACUUUUUUCUUUUUGUUUGUAUAUGUGCUUAUUUAAAAAAAAAAACUGGUUUCCAAGCUAAGAGACAGAGAUAGGUGUAUCUGUGAGUUGAAGUAAAGCCUGGUUUACAUGGUGAAUACCAAUGCUACAUAGUAUGAACCUCCCUCUCUCUCUCUCUCUCUCUCUCUCUCUCUCACACACACACACACACACACACACACACACACACACACACACACACACACGAAUAAAAAAAGAAAACAAAGAAAAAUUUGUUUUCUCUUAUUGUUUUAAAAGUUUUUGAUAUUUCUGUGAAAAAUAUCACAGUCUGUGGGUUUUUGUUUUUCCAUUUUUAUUUUCUGACAGGGUCUCACUAUUGAUCCCAGAUGUCCUCAAACUCUUUCCUCUCCUCCCCCAGUCGCCUGAGAACUUAGAUUGCCUGAGUGCCAACAUGCCCAGGUGUCUCCUUUGAUCUCUCAAGACUUAGGCAUUUAGUCAACUUGCUGAUUUAAGGCAUUUUACUCUGAAGAGGUGAGAAUUCUCUAACCAUGAAGGUAUAGCCACAUUCAUUCCUAAUAUAAAGAGUAUAAUUAUGCCUAUGAACAGAGACAUGUGACAUAGGAUCUUCUAAUGUCUGCACAGACUUCUGCCCAUUCAUGCUUUCCCAGACUAAAGGGCAGACCUCCUGCACAAAAGAAAAUAGAAUGAAAAUUAAGCAUACACUAAAGCAGUGGUUCUCAACCUUCCUAAUGCUGUGACUCUUUAAUACAGUUCCUCAUGUUGUGGUGACCCCCAACCAUAAAAAUAUUUUUUGUUGCUGGGCGGUGGUUGCGCACGCCUUUAAUCCCAGCACUCGGGAGGCAGAGGCAAGCAGAUCUCUGUGAAUUCGAGGCCAACCUGGGCUACAGAGUGAGAUCCAGGACAGGCUCCAAAGCUACACAGAGAAACCCUGUCUCGAAAAAAAAAAAUUUUUUUUUGUUGCUACUUCCUAACUGUAGUGACGCUACUGUUAUGAAUCAUAACGUAACUAUUUGUGUUUGCUGGCAGUCUUAGGUGACCCCUGUAAAGGGUUGUUGACACACGAAGGAUGGUCUUGAAUAUCAUCCUCAAAUCCCAAGUUCUGGGAUUACAGCCAUGCAUCAGUAUGUUUUGUUUGAAGGAAAACAUUCUUAAUCAUGAGUAUACAAGAAAGACAUGAAGACAUAAAUAAAGGAGAGCCAGAAAAGAGUCAAUCAUGUCCCACUCACGAAAUCAGCAAAUUCCGAAAAGAAAUAGAAGAGAAAGGAUGAACAAAUAAUCCAACCAAACAUGAACAAGCAACAAAUUACCAGACUCAACAAACAGUCCCCAGUUAUUAACCUAUCUAUAAUAGUUUGAGCUCCAUAAGACAAAGGCCAACUGCUUGGGUUCAAAGAAAAAAUCUGACUGAUUUUUGUCCACAAUAAAUAAAUCACUCACCAAGAGAUUUAUAAUGUAAAAUGUAAAACAAUGUGCAAAGCACAUAGAAGACAUAAACUAACCAUGAGCAGUUAAACAUAUAUCUGUUAAAUUAUACCUUACCUAAGAUUGGAUUAGAUAAAACAUGCUACAACAUAUUAAUAUGAGGAACAAUUUGUUAAGAACUUGGAAUAAUAACUAUACAUGCACCAAUUCAGGUACAUGAUUUUCUAAAAUAAACAUUGCUAGACAUGAACAGAUAAAUAUGUACAGAUACAUUCAUAGUGGGUGACUUCAGUACCUCAUUGUCAUCAAAAGACCUGUCCCCUAGAUAAUAAAAAAUAAUUUUAAAAAACAGUGAAGAAAUAAUUGCAAGAGAUCUUCAGACCAUUGCAAAUGGGCUGGACAGAUGGGAGUGAUCCACAAACAGACAUGUAUGCAAAACACAUAUACACAUCAAAAUUUAAAAAAGAGUAUUUCAAACAACAACUAUUGAAGAUGAAUUCCAGUAGCCCAUGGAGCAUUUUCUAACAUAGAUCACAUUAUAGACUAUAAAUUAUGUUUUUGUUUGUUUGGUUGGUUUGGUUUGUUCGUUUUGGUUUGGUUUUUCCAGACAGGGUUUCUCUAUGUAACAGCCCUGGCUGACCAGAAACUCACUUUGUAGACCAGGCUGGCCUCAGACUCACAGAAAUCUGCCUGCCUCUGCCUCCCAAGUGCUGCGAUUAAAGGUGUGGGCCACCAUGCCCAUUGUAAAUGAUAACUUAACAAAUACAAAAGAAUCAAAAUGAUUACUUAUAUCUACUCAUAUCUCAGUGCAAUAAAAAUAAAUGUCAAUAGCAAAAAAAAAAAAACUAUUAGAAACUAUGCAAAGAAAAAGCAACUGGCCACUGCUCUUGAGUGACCAGUGGAUCAAUAAAGAAAUCAGAAGGAAAAUUUAAAAAUUCAUAUAAUCAAAUGCAAAUGAAAAUACCACUUACUGAAGGAUAAUGUGGGCUCAAGAUUUUAUUCCCAGCACUUGGGAGGCAGAGGCAGGCAGAUCUCUUUGAGUUUAAGGCCAGCCUGCUGAUCUACAUAGAGUUCUAGGACAGCCAGGGGCACAUAGAGAGACCUUGCUGAAAAAUAAAAAAGGAAGAAAGAAAAGGAAAAAGGAAAAGGACCAUACAAGAAACUGUUCUAAUAAUAGACACAUAAUAACAUAAUAGACACAAUUCUAAAGGAUGACUGAUAGCUAUGAGAGCUCUAUUAGUUACUUUUCUCAUCAGUAUGACCAAAUAUUUAAUAUAUACAAGCAGGGGACUUGAGAUUUAUACUGUCUGGUUUAUGUUUCAGGGCAGGGAGCCCAUGAUGGUGAAGAAGGUACUGCAGCUGGACCAAGUCCACACACCCAGAUGCACAUGCAUGCACAAACACACACAGAUUAAUCUUUAAAAAUAACUCCAGUGGGGUGGUACAUGCCUUUAAUUCCAGCAAAAGUAGGUGAAUCUCUGAGCUUGUGGCUAGCUUGGUCUACAACAUGAGUUCCAGACAAGUCAGGGCUACAGAGAGACUCCCUGUCUCAAAAACGAACAAAUAAACAAAACAACAAAAACUCAACAAUAAACAAACAAAAAUCCUGUAGGGAUAUCUUGCAAUCAAAGAUGUGUGAUGUAUUCAGCAUUAGUGUCUUAUCCUUUUAUUCUGGUAAUCAACCAAGAAGAUGGCAGAAACUUGUAAUUUUUUGGAUGCCUCUGGGGCUUCCCUGGUUAACAACUCGUGAGCAGGUAUAUCUUCCACUCAGUAUUGAGGCUUUUGUUUAAUUACCUAUUGCUUCAAGUAGGCAAGAUAUUCAUGACUGCAAAAUACUGGCAUGAACUGGGAGUAAGCAACCACUCUUUGAUGAGAUUUAGGCCAUUCCAAAGAAGGGAAGCCAUGCCUGGCACUGUUAACCCAGUCAAAACUCAUGGUUGGGUAGGUCACAGGCCUCAGAUCAGAACUUAAGACUGUUGUUUAGCUAAUAGACAGAGCAUAGAACUGGCUACUAAAUACGUGUCUAUAUUCAUAGACAAAUGCUACUCUCAGCCUUAAUUAGAGAAGCCCUGCUAUGGAUUUAAGUAGAUGAAGAGGCUCUUGUUCAAGGUGCUAAUGAUAAGCUACAGGUGAAUGCUCAGCCAUGGACAAGGCGUUUAUCCUAGUCUCUGGAAGGCCAAGGGACACUGAAGAAGAGGAGACAGAAUGGAAGAGCUAGAAGACUGGAAGGCUGUGAAAUGUCAUCUUCUGGGCAAGACAUAAUGAUCCCAGUAACAGAGCCAGAGCAUCUUCUGUUGUCUGUCCAGGGUUUGCACAAGAAUGGAACCAUUAAUAGGGAUGAACUGGGGAGUUUUUCAGGGUACCUACUUUUCCCUGGAGAACCAUAAGCUAUGGAUAGAUUUUGAGAGAAGGGGAGUUAUUGGUUGUCUACCCAGUGUUGAGCCCAAGGAGCUCCAGUGAAUAGUUUCAAGUAGAUGGUCACACACCGCCCUUGUUUAAAACAGUGGGUAACAAAACAAACAAACAAAACCCAAGAGGGGCUGGAGAGAUGGCUCAGCAGUUAAGAGCACUAGACACUACUUCAGCCUUGUUGAAGAAAGCAGGCUUUGUCUGCCCACCAUCGGGACUCUGUUCUGUCAUGAGGCCACUUUCCUUGGAUGUAUAAAGAAUCCUUGUCCUUUUGCCCUGUGUCACUUUGUGGAGCUGGUGUUUGCCACAUUUUUUGGUGGAAAGUCCAGCAGGUUUUAGGAAUAGUCACCAUGUUUACAGGAGCAAUAUUGUCACAGAAAGUAACUACAAUCUUUAAAAGAGUAAAAAUUAAAAUAAAACAGGUCUCAGUCAGGAAUAUCAGCCCUAUACCCAGGCUUGCUCCCGACCCAGACCCCAGCGUGCUGUAGCAAUCAGGUAGGUCAGGGAUCGUGUUUUUACCUCAUCCAGAGUUCCCAGACCAGCUGACUGGGCUACCCAGAGAGGCACAUAUACAGGAACAUUCCUACCCAACUCUUAGAACCAGACACACCAUGGCAGUACAGAUUUCAGACCUGUCUAGGUGCCAGAGGACAAAACUUUCUCCUCUCUCACCUUCCUACCUUCUUGGUUUUCUUUUACAGAGAAUGUUUCUUUUCUUUCUCUUUUUUUUCAUCUCCAAAAACAUUUAUUAGCAUGAUUGAAAACAUUUUUUGAAUAAUAACAGAAGGAGAUUUUAAACAUGAAUGAGUUAUCUGUGGCUCUACCUUAUAACCAGUAUUUGGAAUGGAAUGGACAGUUUUAUAGCCAGUCUUCAUUUAUUAAAAACAAUCCAUUGCCGGGCGGUGGUGGCGCACGCCUUUAAUCCCAGCACUCGGGAGGCAGAGCCAGGCGGAUCUCUGUGAGUUCGAGGCCAGCCUGGUCUCCAAAGCGAGUUCCAGGAAAGGCGCAAAGCUACACAGAGAAACCCUGUCUCGAAAAACCAAAAAAAAAAAAAAAAA